GCGCUUGCUUCAGCAGUACAUAUACUAAAAUUAAAAUGAUACGGAGAUUAGCAUGGCCCCUGUGCAAAGAUGACAUGCAAAUUCAUGGAACGUUCCAUAUUUUU
ensembl:snRNA U6 U6 spliceosomal RNA